GCAAUGCCUCGCCCUCCCAUUCUCACUCUCUUUAUGUAGGAAACAGAUAUCUACAAAUACCUAUCACCAACUUUGACCUCUCCCUGAGCACCGGCACAUCUUUCACUGAAUUAUUGAGUAAGACAUUGUCCUAGGAACUUGGCAUAUACAUAACGACAAGAGCAAACAAGAGAGAUGCAGACUCUCUCCCUACUGGGCUUGCAGUCUAAUCGUAGACACAAAAGAUUACAACACACUGUCAUAAGACUAUAAUGGGGAAAGCUUAGGGCACUGUGGGAUGGCACAGGGAGACCAUCUACCUGGAUUUGAGGAUUAAGAACUUCCAAGGGGACAUGACACAAAAGCUGAAGCCUAAAGUAUUCCAUCUGCCCCUCUAACAUGCAGUUUGAGAGGAGCUAACCUUGACAAGAGCUUCAGAGGUGAGAAGUAUUAAAGAGGAAUACCCCCCACUGUCACAGAGCCCUCAGUGUCAUUGAGAAGGCCAACACAUCCCUGGAUAAUUACACAAGCAGGAACAAGUAGAGAGGGGUAGCAUAUGCACACAGAGGAGGCGCAACUUGUCCAGCCUUGGGGAAUCGGGGGACAAUUCCAGGAGCAUAAGAAACCUGAGUCAAGCCUUAAAAGAUAAGUAUAUUA